AAAUAAAAUAAAAGGAGGGGUAUUUAAGUAAAUUUGUUAUGGGGUCAACUUUUAUAAUUAAUAUUACUAAGGGGUUUUUAGAAAAUAAGGUUGAAACCCUAGUUUAUAUAGUCUAAUUUUAAGUCAGCGUAUACUGACAGAUGUUUUGAGAGAGGAGACUACCCAAAAUACUGAAGUAGAGAAGAUUUGACUGCACAAUAGAGGUGAUAUCUAAAGAUUUUAGGGGAAUUGUUAAGGAAAAGUUUCUUUUGGAAUAGCAUUUGGAGAUUUUGAUCAGGAAGAGUAGCAUAUGUUUGGGCUUCCGCUGGGAUGUGCGCAUGAGUGAAGUUUAGGAAAUUAAUGGAAUAAGUUUUGAACUUUUAUGUUUUAAGAUUACCAUUUGUGUAAUCCUUCAGACUUAAAGGAUUUAGUUUAUUUUUAUUUG